rnacentral:rRNA from 1 species
GACGAACGCUGGCGGCGUGCUUAACACAUGCAAGUCGAACGGUAAGGCUCCAGCUUGCUGGGGUACACGAGUGGCGAACGGGUGAGUAACACGUGGGUGACCUGCCCUGCACUUCGGGAUAAGCCUGGGAAACUGGGUCUAAUACCGGAUAGGACUGCACCGUGAGGGUGUGGUGGAAAGUUUUUUCGGUGUGGGAUGGGCCCGCGGCCUAUCAGCUUGUUGGUGGGGUAAUGGCCUACCAAGGCGGCGACGGGUAGCCGGCCUGAGAGGGUGGACGGCCACAUUGGGACUGAGACACGGCCCAGACUCCUACGGGAGGCAGCAGUGGGGAAUAUUGCACAAUGGGCGGAAGCCUGAUGCAGCGACGCCGCGUGGGGGAUGACGGCCUUCGGGUUGUAAACUCCUUUCACCAUCGACGAAGGGUUUCUGACGGUAGAUGGAGAAGAAGCACCGGCUAACUACGUGCCAGCAGCCGCGGUAAUACGUAGGGUGCGAGCGUUGUCCGGAAUUACUGGGCGUAAAGAGCUCGUAGGUGGUUUGUCGCGUCGUCUGUGAAAUUCCGGGGCUUAACUCCGGGCGUGCAGGCGAUACGGGCAUAACUUGAGUACUGUAGGGGAGACUGGAAUUCCUGGUGUAGCGGUGAAAUGCGCAGAUAUCAGGAGGAACACCGGUGGCGAAGGCGGGUCUCUGGGCAGUAACUGACGCUGAGGAGCGAAAGCAUGGGGAGCGAACAGGAUUAGAUACCCUGGUAGUCCAUGCCGUAAACGGCGGGCGCUAGGUGUGGGUUUCCUUCCACGGGAUCCGUGCCGUAGCUAACGCAUUAAGCGCCCCGCCUGGGGAGUACGGCCGCAAGGCUAAAACUCAAAGGAAUUGACGGGGGCCCGCACAAGCGGCGGAGCAUGUGGAUUAAUUCGAUGCAACGCGAAGAACCUUACCUGGGCUUGACAUAUACAGGAUCGCGCCAGAGAUGGUGUUUCCCUUGUGGCUUGUAUACAGGUGGUGCAUGGUUGUCGUCAGCUCGUGUCGUGAGAUGUUGGGUUAAGUCCCGCAACGAGCGCAACCCUUGUCUUAUGUUGCCAGCACGUUGUGGUGGGGACUCGUAAGAAACUGCCGGGGUUAACUCGGAGGAAGGUGGGGAUGACGUCAAAUCAUCAUGCCCCUUAUGUCCAGGGCUUCACACAUGCUACAAUGGUCGGUACAGUGGGUUGCCAGUCCGUGAGGGCGAGCUAAUCCCGCAAAGCCGGUCUCAGUUCGGAUCGGGGUCUGCAACUCGACCCCGUGAAGUCGGAGUCGCUAGUAAUCGCAGAUCAGCAACGCUGCGGUGAAUACGUUCCCGGGCCU